UACGAAGGGGGCUAGCGUUGCUCGGAAUCACUGGGCGUAAAGGGUGCGUAGGCGGGUCUUUAAGUCAGGGGUGAAAUCCUGGAGCUCAACUCCAGAACUGCCUUUGAUACUGAGGAUCUUGAGUACGGGAGAGGUGAGUGGAACUGCGAGUGUAGAGGUGAAAUUCGUAGAUAUUCGCAAGAACACCAGUGGCGAAGGCGGCUCACUGGCCCGUUACUGACGCUGAGGCGCGAAAGCGUGGGGAGCAAACCGG
rnacentral:rRNA from 1 species